ensembl:lincRNA
GGGUAAACCACUUGUGCAUUGACGUGCUCGUCAGUGACAGACACCGUCAGAUUUGCAAGUGGAUCACGGAGAAUCUGACUGAGUGCAAGCACUAUUUCGAUGUUUGGCAUUUCGGAAAAGGUAAUUUCUUCUAACUACCAUACAUUAAUGACAAUGUCAGUUUGUACAAGCUAUAUUACUUGCAUUUACUGCAAAAUAUUACAAUUGUUGUGGUUUCUGUUGAUAUUUAUCAUGUUGAAGGUCUGAAGAAGAAGCUGAUAGCUUUAUCAUGGCAUAGAGAGUGUGAAGACAUUGGACUAUGGCAGUAGUCCAUAGUAAACCAUCUGUACUGGGUGGCUGCCAGCACACCAGAUGGCAACCUAGAGCUAAUGGAAGCCAAGUGGAGGUCCAUAGUUCCUCACAUGCACAACGUACAUGAGGGCCACUCAAGCAGCCUCUACACAGCUUGCAACCACGGCCCUCUAGACGAAGAUGACAACAGAGACAAAGCUUGGAUCGAGCAGGGUAAUAACUACUGUCGACACAUGUCUCAAUGUAUUUAUGUAUGUGUGCAUACUUAUAGUUACCAUCUUAUUAUUCAGGUACUAUGGCAUCAGAAAAGCUUGGUCAGAUUCUUCUGAAUACCUACAUCUUGAAAGAUGUCAGGAAGCUCUCUCCAAAGCAUCAAACCUCAUCUCUGGAGGCUUUCCACAGUUUGGUGCUGCAUUUUGCGCCAAAGCACACAUCUUUCUCGUAUCUUGGAAUGCCAUGGAGAGAGGGAACAGGCAGCAACCCAGAAAGGUGACAUGUGCUACACUGUUCACUAUCCCAGAAGCAAAAGAGGUGACUUCACUGCAAGACCUGUCAACACAGCAGCCACUUUUGAAUAUGCACACGAACCUCCUGGCAAAUCUGGUGAACAGACACUCAAACAGUCCAGGAGAGUUGCGAGACUCCAUCAGCAACAUGAGAGACACAGCACCUGCUCCACUCACAGAGUACAUGGAGAACAGACCCACAUGGGAGACAGCUAUCAGCCAGCUACAAGCAC